UACGUAGGGUGCGAGCGUUAAUCGGAAUUACUGGGCGUAAAGCGUGCGCAGGCGGUUUUGUAAGACAGCUGUGAAAUCCCCGGGCUCAACCUGGGAACUGCGGUUGUGACUGCAAGACUGGAGUGUGGCAGAGGGGGGUGGAAUUCCACGUGUAGCAGUGAAAUGCGUAGAGAUGUGGAGGAACACCGGUGGCGAAGGCAGCCCCCUGGGUCAACACUGACGCUCAUGCACGAAAGCGUGGGGAGCAAACAGG
rnacentral:rRNA from 1 species